rnacentral:rRNA from 1 species
GAUGAACGCUGGCGGCGUGCUUAACACAUGCAAGUCGAACGAAGCACUUUUAAUUCUCCGGAAGAGAAAGUGACUGAGUGGCGGACGGGUGAGUAACGCGUGGGUAACCUGCCUUAUACAGGGGGAUAACAGUUAGAAAUGACUGCUAAUACCGCAUAAGCCGAUAGAGUCGCAUGACUUAGUCGGAAAAGAUUUAUCGGUAUAAGAUGGACCCGCGUCUGAUUAGCUAGUUGGUGAGGUAAUGGCCCACCAAGGCGACGAUCAGUAGCCGGCUUGAGAGAGUGAACGGCCACAUUGGGACUGAGACACGGCCCAAACUCCUACGGGAGGCAGCAGUGGGGAAUAUUGCACAAUGGGGGAAACCCUGAUGCAGCAACGCCGCGUGAAGGAAGAAGUAUUUCGGUAUGUAAACUUCUAUCAGCAGGGAAGAAAAUGACGGUACCUGACUAAGAAGCCCCGGCUAACUCUGUGCCAGCCGCCGCGGUAA